UGUACAGACACCAACGCCUGUAAUGCUAGAACCGGGCACAGUGCCAUAAGGAAAUUAGUCUCACGAUGUGAGCAUUACACCAAACAAAACAUUACAACUAUAGAAAACAAAAUAUACAUUCACACCAGAUUCACUUAAAAGUUACACGUGAAAUGUUUAUAUUUGAUUCCCAGGGGAACAAAGGAGUAUAUGUGAUCGAUAUAAUGAUUCACUAGUUUGUUUUCUGGGAUCUUGAAUAACUUAAUAUAGCCUCUCCAGCUUCCCCGAACUUUCGUUUUCAGUUACACAGGAAUCAACUUACAACAAUUUGUAAACAGGGACAUCAAUAAGUCAACUGGAAGUGCGAUGCAUCAUUCACAGUUUUCAAAUAGAACGUAAAACCUUUGGAAACACUAUUUCUCUUGAACAAAUGUUUUACGAAGAAAGGAAGGAAAAAAAAAAGGAAAUCAAGAGAGCUACACAAGGGAAGAAAACAGAC